CAGCCGCCGCGGUAAUACGUAGGUGGCAAGCGUUGUCCGGAAUUAUUGGGCGUAAAGGGCUCGCAGGCGGUUUCCUAAGUCUGAUGUGAAAGCCCCCGGCUCAACCGGGGAGGGUCAUUGGAAACUGGGAAACUUGAGUGCAGAAGAGGAGAGUGGAAUUCCACGUGUAGCGGUGAAAUGCGUAGAGAUGUGGAGGAACACCAGUGGCGAAGGCGACUCUCUGGUCUGUAACUGACGCUGAGGAGCGAAAGCGUGGGGAGCGAACAGGAUUAGAUACCCCUGUAGUCCCUGUCUCUUAUAA
rnacentral:rRNA from 1 species